rnacentral:rRNA from 1 species
UACGAAGGGGGCUAGCGUUGCUCGGAAUCACUGGGCGUAAAGGGUGCGUAGGCGGGUCUUUAAGUCAGAGGUGAAAUCCUGGAGCUCAACUCCAGAACUGCCUUUGAUACUGAGGAUCCUGAGUACGGGAGAGGUGAGUGGAACUGCGAGUGUAGAGGUGAAAUUCGUAGAUAUUCGCAAGAACACCAGUGGCGAAGGCGGCUCACUGGCCCGUUACUGACGCUGAGGCACGAAAGCGUGGGGAGCAAACAGG